UGGGGAAUAUUGGACAAUGGGCGAAAGCCUGAUCCAGCCAUGCCGCGUGUGUGAAGAAGGUCUUCGGAUUGUAAAGCACUUUAAGUUGGGAGGAAGGGCAUUAACCUAAUACGUUAGUGUUUUUACGUUACCGACAGAAUAAGCACCGGCUAACUCUGUGCCAGCAGCCGCGGUAAUACAGAGGGUGCAAGCGUUAAUCGGAAUUACUGGGCGUAAAGCGCGCGUAGGUGGUUUGUUAAGUUGGAUGUGAAAUCCCCGGGCUCAACCUGGGAACUGCAUUCAAAACUGACUGACUAGAGUAUGGUAGAGGGUGGUGGAAUUUCCUGUGUAGCGGUGAAAUGCGUAGAUAUAGGAAGGAACACCAGUGGCGAAGGCGACCACCUGGACUAAUACUGACACUGAGGUGCGAAAGCGUGGGGAGCAAACA
rnacentral:rRNA from 1 species